rnacentral:pre_miRNA from 1 species
UCCGAAAAAAAACCUAGGUUUUCGUGUCCAACGUUUGACUGUCCAUCUUAUAUGAAAUUUUUUUAUAAUUAAUAUUUUUAUUGUUGUUAGAUGAUAAAACAUAAUUAAUACUUUAUACAUUACUUAUCUUGUUAAUUUUUUUUAAAUAUAACGGACGGUUAGAAACCUAGGGUUUAUGG